UCGCACCUACCGAUUGAAUGGUUCGGUGAAAAUCUCGGACUGCGGCUUGGAUGCCUUCGGGCAACCAGGCUGUGGAAAGUUGUUUAAACCUCAUCAUUUAGAGGAAGGUG
rnacentral:rRNA from 1 species